UUAAGCGACUAAGCGUACACGGUGGAUGCCCUGGCAGUCAGAGGCGAUGAAGGACGUGCUAAUCUGCGAAAAGCGUCGGUAAGGUGAUAUGAACCGUUAUAACCGGCGAUGUCCGAAUGGGGAAACCCAGUGCAAUUCGUUGCACUAUCGUUAACUGAAUACAUAGGUUAACGAGGCGAACCGGGGGAACUGAAACAUCUAAGUACCCCGAGGAAAAGAAAUCAACCGAGAUUCCCCCAGUAGCGGCGAGCGAACGGGGAGCAGCCCAGAGUCUGAAUCAGCUUGUGUGUUAGUGGAACGGUCUGGAAAGUCCGACGGUACAGGGUGAUAGUCCCGUACACCAAAAUGCACAGGCUGUGAACUCGAAGAGUAGGGCGGGACACGUGGUAUCCUGUCUGAAUAUGGGGGGACCAUCCUCCAAGGCUAAAUACUCCUGACUGACCGAUAGUGAACCAGUACCGUGAGGGAAAGGCGAAAAGAACCCCGGCGAGGGGAGUGAAAAAGAACCUGAAACCGUGUACGUACAAGCAGUGGGAGCACCUUCGGGUGUGACUGCGUACCUUUUGUAUAAUGGGUCAGCGACUUAUAUUCUGUAGCAAGGUUAACCGUAUAGGGGAGCCGCAGGGAAACCGAGUCUUAACUGGGCGUUAAGUUGCAGGGUAUAGACCCGAAACCCGGUGAUCUAGCCAUGGGCAGGUUGAAGGUUGGGUAACACUAACUGGAGGACCGAACCGACUAAUGUUGAAAAAUUAGCGGAUGACUUGUGGCUGGGGGUGAAAGGCCAAUCAAACCGGGAGAUAGCUGGUUCUCCCCGAAAGCUAUUUAGGUAGCGCCUCGUGAAUUCAUCUUCGGGGGUAGAGCACUGUUUCGGCUAGGGGGUCAUCCCGACUUACCAACCCGAUGCAAACUACGAAUACCGAAGAAUGUUAUCACGGGAGACACACGGCGGGUGCUAACGUCCGUCGUGAAGAGGGAAACAACCCAGACCGCCAGCUAAGGUCCCAAAGUCAUGGUUAAGUGGGAAACGAUGUGGGAAGGCACAGACAGCCAGGAUGUUGGCUUAGAAGCAGCCAUCAUUUAAAGAAAGCGUAAUAGCUCACUGGUCGAGUCGGCCUGCGCGGAAGAUGUAACGGGGCUAAACCAUGCACCGAAGCUGCGGCAGCGACACUAUGUGUUGUUGGGUAGGGGAGCGUUCUGUAAGCCUGCGAAGGUGACCUGUGAGGGUUGCUGGAGGUAUCAGAAGUGCGAAUGCUGACAUAAGUAACGAUAAAGCGGGUGAAAAGCCCGCUCGCCGGAAGACCAAGGGUUCCUGUCCAACGUUAAUCGGGGCAGGGUGAGUCGACCCCUAAGGCGAGGCCGAAAGGCGUAGUCGAUGGGAAACAGGUUAAUAUUCCUGUACUUGGUGUUACUGCGAAGGGGGGACGGAGAAGGCUAUGUUAGCCGGGCGACGGUUGUCCCGGUUUAAGCAUGUAGGCUGGUUGUCCAGGCAAAUCCGGAUAAUCAAGGCUGAGGUGUGAUGACGAGGUACUACGGUGCUGAAGUAACAAAUGCCCUGCUUCCAGGAAAAGCCUCUAAGCAUCAGGUAACAUUAAAUCGUACCCCAAACCGACACAGGUGGUCAGGUAGAGAAUACCAAGGCGCUUGAGAGAACUCGGGUGAAGGAACUAGGCAAAAUGGUGCCGUAACUUCGGGAGAAGGCACGCUGGUGUGUAGGUGAAGUCCCUGCGGAUGGAGCUGAGACCAGUCGAAGAUACCAGCUGGCUGCAACUGUUUAUUAAAAACACAGCACUGUGCAAACACGAAAGUGGACGUAUACGGUGUGACGCCUGCCCGGUGCCGGAAGGUUAAUUGAUGGGGUUAUCCGUAAGGAGAAGCUCUUGAUCGAAGCCCCGGUAAACGGCGGCCGUAACUAUAACGGUCCUAAGGUAGCGAAAUUCCUUGUCGGGUAAGUUCCGACCUGCACGAAUGGCGUAAUGAUGGCCAGGCUGUCUCCACCCGAGACUCAGUGAAAUUGAACUCGCUGUGAAGAUGCAGUGUACCCGCGGCAAGACGGAAAGACCCCGUGAACCUUUACUAUAGCUUGACACUGAACAUUGAGCCUUGAUGUGUAGGAUAGGUGGGAGGCUUUGAAGCGUGGACGCCAGUCUGCGUGGAGCCAACCUUGAAAUACCACCCUUUAAUGUUUGAUGUUCUAACGUUGGCCCCUGACCGGGGUUGCGGACAGUGUCUGGUGGGUAGUUUGACUGGGGCGGUCUCCUCCCAAAGCGUAACGGAGGAGCACGAAGGUUAGCUAAUCCUGGUCGGACAUCAGGAGGUUAGUGCAAUGGCAUAAGCUAGCUUGACUGCGAGCGUGACGGCGCGAGCAGGUGCGAAAGCAGGUCAUAGUGAUCCGGUGGUUCUGAAUGGAAGGGCCAUCGCUCAACGGAUAAAAGGUACUCCGGGGAUAACAGGCUGAUACCGCCCAAGAGUUCAUAUCGACGGCGGUGUUUGGCACCUCGAUGUCGGCUCAUCACAUCCUGGGGCUGAAGUAGGUCCCAAGGGUAUGGCUGUUCGCCAUUUAAAGUGGUACGCGAGCUGGGUUUAGAACGUCGUGAGACAGUUCGGUCCCUAUCUGCCGUGGGCGCUGGAGAAUUGAGGGGGGCUGCUCCUAGUACGAGAGGACCGGAGUGGACGCAUCACUGGUGUUCGGGUUGUCAUGCCAAUGGCACUGCCCGGUAGCUAAAUGCGGAAGAGAUAAGUGCUGAAAGCAUCUAAGCACGAAACUUGCCCCGAGAUGAGUUCUCCCUGAGACUUUAAGUCUCCUGAAGGAACGUUAAAGACGAUGACGUUGAUAGGCCGGGUGUGUAAGCGCAGCGAUGCGUUGAGCUAACCGGUACUAAUGAACCGUGAGGCUUAACCUU
rnacentral:rRNA from 1 species